AUGAUUAGUAAAGUGCUACAGACUGGAAGGAGGGAAUGAGAAAUAGACAUGAUCAGAAAGAAGCAGUCGCAAGUCUUGGACUAAGACACUAAAGAGUUAAAAAGUUUACCUGAAAUUCAGAGCCCUGCAACUGAUGAGUGGCUUACAGUAGAACAGUUGCUGGAAACGGCGUCCAGGAGAAGUGGUAACCAAGAGUUUGUAUGUGGUCCUCACUAGUAUAAAAUCUGAGCAAUUUUCAAGUUGUAUG
rnacentral:lncRNA from 1 species